ensembl:misc_RNA
UUUGCACUGAGUAAACCCAGUCGCCGUCAGCCCAGCUGCCGACCCCAAGCGUGUGCGGGCUCAGGACCUACACAAUGCAAGCAAUUCUCUCCUUUCGGGAUCUCGCGGCGGCGAGGUGCAGGAGACCCAGACC